rnacentral:lncRNA from 1 species
GGCUGGCCGAAAGCAACCAGCCCUCCAGCCCUCUCCGAUCCCGUGGGGCCCUCCCAGAUUCCCGAGCCCUCUGGCCUAGCCCUCGGUUGGAGACAGUUUUAGGGCUAUUUUCGGCCCUCUGGCCCUCUGGACCCUUCGGUUGGAGAUGGCCUAACAAUUCUCUACUUAUCGUGCGCUUGUCGGUAUAUAUUAAGAAAAUAAAAAUAAAAUAAUCAAGUCUUAUUCAUUCCUUAAGAAGUAAUUAACAAAUAGAUAGUGGGGUUUAAAGAUUUGGAAUUUUACUUCUUCAAAAGAUUGAGGUAAACAGAGAAAUCCAAUGUUAAUUUGAACGAUCGUGAAACAACAAAUUAAAAACCCAUAGAGAUUAGAGAUGGGGGAAAGGGAAACUUGGCACACAAUUUCAUAACUUCACGCACGCGCCUGAACAUGCCCUAAUUCCACACGAAUGGAGUUUGCAAGUUUGGAUAACCAGGGUUUUUCGAACGAAACUGUGAACACGGAAAAUUCCUGAAACGAAAGAGAUAAGAACAACGUGCACAAAAUAAUAUUUGUGUUUGAUGAUUUUGGGUUACAAUCUCUCUCAAAUUUGAUCCUCUGAUUCGAUCUCCGUAAGGUGUUGAUUUGUGGAUGUUUCGUUGAUCCAAGGGCCGUCGAGGCUUGAUCUUGGAUGAACUGUUGGAAGUUUCUUCAAAGGGAUGUGGGCUUGAUCUUUGAAGGUGGAUUUGAGCGGAUCUUCAAGGAGCCGUUGGGGCUUGAUCUUGAGGAUGAGUGUUUCUUCAAGGGCCGUUAAGGUUUGAUCUUGAAUAACGGUGAUGAACGGAUCUUCAAGGGCUUUUGGGCUUGAUCUUGAAGAACGGAUGAUUGUUGAUCCAAGGGCCGUCGGGGCUUGAUCUUGGGAUGAACAGUUGUGUGGAUUUAUUGAUGUUGUUGAUCCAAAGGGUCGUUGGGGCUUGAUCUUAGAAUGAACAGUUAUGUGGAUUUGAUGAUGUUGUUGAACCAAAAGGGCCGUCGGGGUUU